GCAGACAGGGUACUCAUUUUUAGGGUGGGAACACUUCCCUUUAAAUCACAAUGCUACCUUGUAGUGAAUCCCGCUCUCUGCUUUCUCCCUAUAUGGAUCACUCUUCUCUCCAGUGUUUCCAGAAAAGGCUCCUGAGGAGAAAUUCUUCCCUGCAUCACAAAAAAGAUAUGUGCAGUACUGAAGAUGUUUUUGGUGUGCUAUCUGGAGACUUGUGAAAGCAACAAAGGGUAAUUUUCGUCAGUACAGAGAGAAGAAGGAGUGUUAACUUAUGGAGCUCCCUCUACACAAGUCAUCUGUGUCUCCUCCAGUCACAGCUGAACCUUCCCAGCCUCAACGCUCUAAUGUAUGCAAUUAGAAAUGAUGAAAAAUCAAAAAAGAAAUUAAAUUUGGUUGUGAUACAUUU